AGGGGGCGGGUGCUGGGCAGCCACCGGGGGCCGAACGCAGCGUGCCGGCGUCGUAGCGUUGAUAUAUCCGCUUUUAAUGUGGCUGUAAUUGGCAUGAUAUCCCAUACCAAAAUGUCUUUUGAGCAGAAGAAAUAGAGGUGAACUAUAAAGUGAGAGCCAGUUUCCUCUCUACUCUACAAUCUAGGAGAAAAAACUUUCACCCAAGGACAAAUCAAGUAAUUGUUGACUCAAUCUUAUGAGGUUCAAGAUUAUGCUUUUCUAUUUCUGCCCUUUAUAAAAUUAAUUAGAAGUGAUAGCCAAGUGUGCCAGUUUUUGUAACAUAAGGAAAUGCUUGAACACCAA